UCGAGUCAUAUUUGCAAAAAAAAGGUUAAUCGAGUCGUAUUAAACAUUGGGCCUUCUCCCAGCAACGCAAACCUGGCGCCGAACUCGUGGCGGCGGCGCCGUAUGGCGGGCACAUGUUGCAAGUCCGGCGCUGGGAAACCCUAUCCUUUCUCCCUUGCGAGGUAGCAUGCCUCUCCACGACAUCUUCCAUGGGCUAGAUUUUGGAGUACGAGAAGCAAGAUCCGGAGUCUGUCGAACAUAUAGAGCUGGACCAUCAGCCUCCUCGACUCUUCAUUAGUGGCGGCGACACCGUCGCCCACCUCCACCCACGAGACCAGCCGCUCAUCGCAUCGCGAUGUCUCUCCUCUCUCAACUUUUUUUCUUCUGCAUGUAUGACGAAAGUGGCCACGGGCGCGGCGUAUCUGCUUCCGAGGUCCCGGCUGUCGCAGCCGUCUAGCAUGUGGAUGGGCAUGACCCGACCCUCUAGCGGCAGGCACUCCACCUCCACAUGCGGCUCGAUCGGAGCGCCGGCUCAUAGUGCUCCUCCCCACAAUUUCUUGUUAAUUGUUUCAUGUUCAGACACAAAUGUCAUGUUGAGGUUGAUAUGUGUGCUUCCUCACCGAUUGCAGUUUGGGAAGCUAGCUAAUUUUAACUAAAGUAAAUGUUAGGAAGAUUUUACAUCGAUGGACAAUCAGGUUUUUAGUGCUUGCUAUUUCUUCAACACUCGGCUGCAGGUCUGUCCUAUAUGUCACGAUGGCAGCAUGACACCAAUGAAAGUGAUCUGAAGAAUGCAUUCUCUCAGCAUGAACAUGAUACUGAAGUUAAAGUAAUACACCAUCAUGUGCUUAGGAAACCCAACAGAUAUGGUUUCUUCAAGUUCUCUUCAAAAAAUGAAGCAGCAGUAAAAUAUGCUUCAUGGCAUUGGCAUCCAUAGAUAUAUCACAAGCCAUGUUCUUGCAUGAUAAUAUGCAGCCCUCGGUAUGAUUCUUGUCCUUAUGCUAACACAAUUUUUGCACAUAUAAUUGUUUCGGCUGCUUGAUCGAAUAACUUAAUAUACGGUGCACUAUGCUAAAAUUUCAGAUGCAUAAGGUGCUUGUUCGAUAUCAUAUCUUCUAUUCGGAAUCUGCUUGAUCGAUGGAGUUUUUGUGUUAUCCAUUUGAUCUAACAGCCACAAUUUUUCAUUAUGAUUUUCAUAAUUGCACGUUCGACAGAUCAUGAUGUUGAAAAAUUUCUUGCUGAAGCAUUAUGGCUAGCAUGCAACAAACGAUUUUUACCUCCACCUCGGAUCAUCCAUAGCGGCACACAUAUUUAUAUUGGUAUUUCAGUCUGAAUUAUAAAUAAUAUAUAUUGAUGUUCAAAUGCUAAAUCAGAAUUGUAUGUCAUUUAUGUGCUUCACAUGACAACUCAUAAUUGUCUCUCACCGUUAAUCUUUUAAAUGUUUUCCUUGCCUGUUUUAUAUCUUGUAUCUGCAGAAGAUUUAUAAAAUCUCAUGAGGCCUAACUUAUAUAGAGUUAUUUGAUGAUUGUUUGAAUCGGCUAUUCUAUACAUUGUAAACAAGUUUUUCAUUUAUAACUAUACUUUUCUUUCAUAAAUUUAUAUUGUCUUAUUAUUGUUUGCUCAAAAUCAGUGGGCGCUGCAACGCGCGCCUUGAUGUUCUAGUACUAUAUAUUGCUGCAUCUGGAUAAAAGGUGCCACAUGUAGCAUAUACGUCAAAGGGGAAUUUUUUUUCCUCUUCUUUCUAUAUUAGGCAAAUUAAUGAUGUAUUGUCCUUUCGAUUACUCUCAUAUUUUCAUGACAUCAUGGUUACCCUAUCUGUUUAAUUAUGGAUUUUUGUCCUUUGAUUUCAACUGUUGUACAAUUCUUUUAGUUUUGCCCAUAUUUGCAUGUUACCAUAUUCUUUAACAAUCCUACCAUUUUCUGUAGCGCGUCCCUUGCUAUGCAACAGAAUCUGUAGUACACAAUCUUGCACUUUACAAUCAAGACUGCAGGCUGAACACAAACAAUGGAUUUACAAUCGUUCCUUCUGUAAGACUUGAUAAAUGUGGUCACUCCUAUUUUGCCACGAGCGUAUGGACAGAAUUUAUAAGUCUUAUGUACAGAAAGCUGGCACUAAAAUUGCACUGCACAUAAAAGAGCCUCGUUGUGAGAUAUAUGCUAACUUCCCCGACGAUAUCAUCUAUCCAGACUUUGUUCGAAAAAGCGCCGCUGAUGAGGAGACUCCGGAGGUGGAGAACGGGGCUGCCAAAAAGCGGAGGCGAGUCGAGACAGAACCGCAAGCGACUCCAGCAGGCCUAGACUUCAUCAGCAGCCUCCCCGAUGAUAUGUUGAUAGUCAUCAUCUCCCUCCACCCAAUCAAAUAUGGGGCACGGACAACCGUACUUUCCCGAUGAUGGCACCCCCUAUGGCACUCCCCCCUCUUGACCUCAUCGACACCCACGAGCUCUGCCAUGACUAUCGCAAAAGCUUGGAUGCAUUCUCCCAUAUCCUCGAUAGUCACCCUGGCCCAACCAGAGGCCUUAGCAUGGGCAAGUUCCGUUCCAACGGCAAGGACCAAGCCAAGCUUGACGACUGGUUCCGAUCCCUCGCCCUAGACCAGCUCGAGGAGCUCACUUUUGAUGAUGGGCAUAUGCGCUCGCUGCCAACGUCAGCGCUUUGCCUCGCGCCCAUGCUACACGCCGCCAAGUUGAGGAACUGCCAUCCCCCCCCCCUUAAUGGCGCGCCCGCUCUUAUUCUACCACGACUGAAGCACCUCGAGCUCGUCACGUCUGCCUCCCAAAUGGUGACAUGGAGCGCCUGCUCUGUGGUUGUACUGCACUCGAGUACUUUUGUCUUCAGGCGAUCAAUGGAUUGAGUAGCUUCCACAUCACCUCCAUGACUCUCCGAACUAUUUAUGUGUGUUGGUAGUGCUGCAAAAAGACAUCAUAGAUGUGUACCACGGUAUGGUCAUUGAGGACACACCUUCACUUGUAGUUGAUCAAGAAGGUCCAACAAGAAUCAACGUCAUUUCUGCACCGAAAUUGACAGUGGUGGGCUACUCGUUUGACAAAUACUCCAAAUUUGUUAUUGGAUCCACAUCUGUUCAGGUACAACAGCCGCCUUCUACCUCUCCUUCUAGAAAUUAACGUUAUUUCUAAUUUUGAAGAUGUAUGUUCGUCUGUCGUCCAAAAAAUGAUUCCGACAAGCUUGACCACGAAACUGCGCACAGUGAAGGUCUUGGCACUAGAAUCUAUCGGCUCCAACCUGGACCAAAUUGUCAGUUUCCUGAGAUGCUUUCCAUGCCUAGAGAAGCUAUAUAUCUAGGUGAUGUUCCUUUCUAGUUAAAUAUUAACAAUAAGGGAGUUCAAUUUGUGACACCUUUUUCCAAGUUUACAAUGAUACUACGAUUUCUGAAGGAGUUUUGGAGGAUUUCAAUACAUACAUGUCCCCCUCCCCCAUUUUGCUUGCUUGAUCCAUAUGAUUACAAUCCAUAAGCAUUUGUCCUUUGGAUUCAACUGUACUAGUUUUCUUAGGGAAAUUUUCAUCCACUCCAACCUCUUGUGAAGAAGACUACAUUUUUCUAGAUUGUAAUCAAAUGCCCAUGUUAAUCAUGUCGGAUCAAAGAUGGAACAUUAGUGCAUUUUACAGAUCCCGCAAACCAAAUAGGCUUGUAGUAGUGUUCAAAACUGCAUGUAGGAACUAACACAUUUUCUUCUUUUGCAGAUAAGAUUAGGCCCAGUGGUCGAUAAUGUGAUACAACAUAAUAAUCACAUCGAAUGCCUAGAUCUGCAUCUCUCAGAAAUUACUUUGAACUCCUAUCGAGGGACCUUACAGGAGAUUAUAUUCGCCAGGUUCUUUGUUGUCAGAGCAAGGGUGCUAAAGGUAAUGAGGUUUGCCCUACAUUUAUUUCGCAAAAAAAUGGUUUGUCGAUUAGCGUCGGUGGCUGCGGCAGAAUGGAAUAGGCUCCGAAAAUGCUGAAUUUCAUUUUGGAACCCCAUACGUGACUUCUCAACAGCUGACCCCUUUGCAAAAAUUAUGAGGUUUCAAAACAAGCCUUACAAGUGGAGAUAUUAGUUUGAACCUCUCUUAUAUCCAUGUUCAGCGGAUCAAUGCGGCGUUUGCAGCUGGUGAGCUGAAUUUCAUUUCUAAUAUCAGUUUGAACCUUGUAAUCUUCGAAUUUGAGCCAUAUAACUCUGGAAUUUGAACCUUGUAAUAUUUUGAGUUUUUGUGGCACAAUUGUUGAAAUGGCGUCGUAUGAGACUCAUAUA